GUUCAACAACUCGAGCGUCUUUCCCUUGCCACAGAACAAAGCAUUCGCCGCUCACCAAUUUCACAGCGUUCGGCGAGAAUCCCGGUUUCACUCCUCAACCAUCGGCUCUCUCUCGUUGCUCGGCCCCUCUCACCGUCUCAGAUUGCUCUGGCGAAAGAGUUGUAUCGAGAAUUGAAUAAAUCUCCAUUUCCAUUUGAAUAUUGUUGGAAUGUGUUGAAGAUAUGUCCAAAAUGGAGUUGUGACAAGGAAAAACCGAAAAAAAAAAAAAGGAAAAAAAAAAAAAAGGAUCGUUUGCAACUUCACUUCUCCUUCUACUCUAUCUUCAAUAAAUCUAGGGAAAUAUGAUAUCUCCACCGGUAACUUUAUAUAUUUGGUGAGACCUCUAGGUAGAAAGGUCGCAAAAUAGCGAUUGAAUAAAAGAAAGAUCAAAGAUUACUAACUGAGAUGAAGGAAGAGAGGAAGAUAGCGACUGAGCGGAAACUGUAACUUAUGGAAAAAAUGGAUGCUCCAAAGGAAGAGAGGCUUCGAGUUGAGCAAGACAAAAUUAUGCUCACGGAUACAAGUUGCUUAUCUGAGGUCCAAAGAGAAUAUAUUCAUAUCCGACAAAUGAAAAUCCUUGAAAUUCGAAGGAUGAAUUAGUGUUUAAUUGAUCAUGCUACUAUUAAGAUAGUCUGGCCCCCAUCUUUUUGUAAGGCAAUGGUCAAAUGAAAUUAUAUAUCAUGCCUUGUUAUUGGUGUCGAACAAUUUUAAGCAAUUUUAUGAUGAUUAUUAAUUUGGAAGUAGCUA